rnacentral:tRNA from 1 species
UUAAUUGAAGCAAAAAAUUUGCUUUUAACUGUUAAUUAAAAUUUUGCUAUUCUUAGCCAAUUAAA